UUCAAUUCUGAUUUCAUGGGGACUUUAAUUAUACAAACCGAAAGGGACUCUAUAGCCAAUAGAUUCCCCUAUAAACACCUUCCUGUGACUGAAUCACCGGACGUGCGUGCUGAAGGUCGCGAAUUAAACGAAGUCGACAAUGUCACUUGCAAAGCCAGCGAUGAGAGGCCUCCUGGCCAAGCGUUUGAGGUUUCAUUUGCCCAUCGCGUUUGCUCUUUCCAUCGCUGCAGCAGCCGUUUUCAAGUACACAGUAACAGAGCCCAGGAAACAGGCAUAUGCUGACUUCUACAAAGAGUAUGAUGCCAUGAAGGAGUUUAACGCCAUGAAAGAAGCUGGUGUAUUUCAAAGUGUCAGGCCUUCUGGAGAAUAAAGUAAUGUGAUGUGAUGUGCCCCUGCAUUCCUGCUCUGCAGCUGAAUCUUUAUAAGAUUAUUGGAUAUGAACAUUGAUGUCUGAUGUUCUCAUUAAGAUGGAAAUAAACUGUUGACAACCAUCA